ACUGGUGCUAUGGGCGAUGAAGCCAACGGUUGCGAGAGUUGAACCAAGCGUGGCCAACAAAGCGUUCAAGGCUCUCUCUUGGCAAGUCCGCAAAAUGUCUACAUCAUCAUAAUAAAAGCUCUUGUAGAUAGAUUAUUCCACAUCAUCAUAACUUUUCCUUUGAACCGUAGUUUUGGAGCCAUAUGUGCCAGCCAAGGUGCAUAGGCACUCUAAGAACAAACAAAAGCACAGUGGUGGCCUCCCCCCUUCCCCCUGCUUGACAUCCAAGUUCGAAACCCCAAUGGUUUUC
rnacentral:lncRNA from 1 species